rnacentral:rRNA from 1 species
AGGACGAACGCUGGCGGCGUGCUUAACACAUGCAAGUCGAGCGGAAAGGCCCUUCGGGGUACUCGAGCGGCGAACGGGUGAGUAACACGUGAGUAAUCUGCCCCUAGCUCUGGGAUAGCUCCGGGAAAACCGGGAUUAAUACCGGAUACGACCACUUUAGACAUCUGUUGUGGUGGAAAGAAUUUUGGCUAGGGAUGAGCUCGCGGCCUAUCAGCUUGUUGGUGGGGUAAUGGCCUACCAAGGCGACGACGGGUA